AUGGAGUUGUGGCUGAGCUCCAUUGUUCUUGUUGCUAUUUUUAAAGGUGUCCAGUCUGAGGUGCAGCUGGUGGAGUCUGGGGGAGGCUUGGUGAAGCCUGGGGGUUCCCUGAAUCUCUCCUGUGCAGCCUCUGGAUUCACCUUCAGUAGCUAUGGGAUAACCUGGGUCUGCCAGGUUCCAGGGAAAGGGCUGGAGUGGGUGGCAGUUAUCUGGUACCAUCGUAGUCAGAACUACUAUGCAGAGUCUGUGCAGGGCAGAUUCACCAUCUCCAGAGACAAUAGCAAGAUCCAGCUGUAUCUGCAAAUGAACAGCCUGAGAGUGGAGGACACUGCCAUUUAUUACUGUGUAAAUGACACAAUGAAAAGACUUCAGUUAAAGCCCAGACACAAACCUCCUUGCCAGGCACUCAGGCCCCUCACAGGGGAUGAACACCAGGAGGGGGCGCUCAGUACACACUGA